AUGGUGCUGCAGGCUGGCCAGUGAGACAGGUGAAGUGAAGCUGUGUGGUGGCUGAUGGCAGGGAGGGGUGGGGCUCCAGAGGCCCACACCACAAUACAUAAAUAUGUGCAUGUGCAUUACAUCCUGUUACCGUGAAUCUGCCUUUAGCUGUGUGUUAGUUUGCAGUACUGUGGGAAGUUUGUAACAGAUAAUCAAAAGGAAAUAAGAAAAGUCGCUGUCCACUCUGAAAAAUGUAUGUUGCCUUUUACAUCUUUACUUUUGGUGGUGGCCAAACAUCCUACAGCACAGAAAACUAACUGGCUGUCCACUCUGAAAGAUGGCAGCUGCACGUCUAAUAUGGGAUAGGAGGGUUAAGCCCAGAGAACAGAUCAUAGAAAAGGUAGAUGAGCCCUUUGCCCCAAUUCAGAGAACUUGCAGUAUAAGAAAAGGGGACAUUUGGGUCAGAAUUACAUCUGUAGAACAGUCAGAGUUCAGUCCAGCAGGAUGUUUAAUUUUCAGGAUUGUGGUGUUUCUGAAAGGAUUGUGAAUAAAAUGGUAUUUUAUUCUGCUGGUAAAGCCGGGCAUUAACUAUUGGCCGUUAGGGUAUGUGUGUACAUCUUGGUGGGAGAGUGUCCAUCUGAACAACAUGUGAGCUGCUGUUUAGAUGCAGUGUUACAUCGUUUAGUUUAGUCACUCUUCUGUGGUUCCAGUCUCAAGUCAUAGUCUGGAUAUUAUACCUUUGUAAGCAGACAUGUUGUGUGGAAUAGCCUGAUUCAGAGACCAAUGUUCUGGCUCUAGCUCCUAUCAUCUAAAGGAUGACAUCAUUUACAGGAGUAUUUCUUAGAUAAGUAUUCUAAUUCUUUCAAGUGUCCCAACUUAUUAAAUUUUUUUGUGCAGUUUAUAUUACCCCACAAGGUCUACCAAACAUGUUGAUAAAGGGUUUUAAAAGAAAAACAUGACUUAAUAUAUCAGGCUUUCAUUAUCAUUAUUAUCAUCAUUGUUACAAUAAUAAUUAAAUGCAACGCAAUAAUUAGCCUGUUAUAUUCGCAAAAGUGUGCGCGAAUGAAAUGAAUGGAUAGAUUAUAGGGCAAGGACACACAGAAAAUAGGUGCAAUGUGUGGAAUUUUCAGAAGACACCACGUUUUUAAAAAUCUAGUGUCUACCAGCAGUAAAAGUUAGUGGCAAUAAUCAGUUGUGCUCUUCUCAUACAAGCACUAGAUGGCGAUGCAGUGUAAUUCCAGUUGAUGCCGUGGUUCAGUGGUACUCACUAAUUUUCUUAGGAGAGCCACUUAUGAGUAAGACCAUUACUCAAAGAGCCACAGAGAUUGCAGAUAUAACUCAGGUGUUUUUUUUUAAUCAUCACUCUGAAGAUAUUUACCAUCUUUGUGUAUGUU